rnacentral:lncRNA from 1 species
AUGGGAUCUCAUGGAGGGAGGUCCUGCAGAGUGGCUCAUCCCAACCCCUCUGUGAUGUCCCAUCACAGAAAUUCAGGUUUGGGUGGUGGCAGAGCAGGGAAAGGUCCCACUCUCCCCAUGACAGACAGGAGGAGGCUUUCCCUGGGCUCUGAGCCGUGGUUCCAGGGUGGUUCCAGGUGGACUCUGGGGAUUGGAGAUGGCUGGGUCAGAGGGAAGGGAUGGGAGAUCAUGAAAUCACAGAAUCACCAAUGUUGGAAGAGACCCUCGGGAUCAUCCAGUCCAGCCCAGCAGCACCACGAAAGGGACCUUGGGAGGGCCAGAACAGGAGCUCCAGGAUCUCCCCCCUUGCCUGGCCUUGGCAUUUCCAUGCCCGUCUGGCCAGGCAGGCUCCGCUGCUGCCAAUGUGCUGAUGCGGGAGCUUUGCAGCGCCGAGAUUUGCCUCCUGUGCAAAACCCAGCGAAAGUGGGCUGGGGCUGGAGCCGCGGCGUUCCCAGCCCAGGGCAGGGACGCGGGAGGAUCAGAGGGAUCGCAGCUCGGGAGGCUCCGGGGACGCGCCCACAGCGGCUCCCGAAGCUGCCCCGGGGCCGGGCGGAGCCGCCCCAGCGCCUUUCCCAGCCGGUCUCUUGACACUCGGAGCUGAGCACGUCGGGCAGCAGGGAGAGGGUGAAUUGCCUCUCUUGGUGCUGCACUGGGGUUUCACCAGCCUGAGGAGCACUGGGAUGGAGGAGAUUUGGGGGCCCUUGGAGCUGGUUCUGAGCCAGAUAAAGGUGGGUGUUAAACUGGGAGGUGCUUGGAGCAGCUUUGCUGCAGCUGAAAACAUCCCAUGAGCUCUGGGAUGGCCCAAACCUCCCUGGGCCCCCGGAUCCCUCCCGGGGCUGCCCGACCCUGUCCCCCCAUCCCCAGCCCUGUUUGCUUCCUGCGUCAGGGCUGACUCACCCUGGGAUUCCUCAGCUCUGAAGUGGUUCCUGCCGGCCCUGCCCCUCCCCUGCCCAGGUGCUGAGGGUUUUUUUCCGAAGCUCUGACUCUCUGGGUGUGCCCGAGCCUCGGCAGGUCCCGGCAGGAGCGGCUCCGCUCCGCUCCCACCGCGCGUUCCUGGCGGGGCUCCAGGGGCUGGGCAGGAGCGGCCCCGGCAGCUCCUUGCCCUGCUGAGCUGGGGCUUUUCUGCUCCUGCUGGGUCCGUCUGUGGACACAGGGACAGCACUGCAGCCCCAGAGCCCAAUGGCUGCUCCAGACCCUUCCGUGGGCACAGGGCACCGUCCCAAAUCCCGGUGGCUGUUCCAAAUUCCUCCAUGGACACAGGGCACUCUCCCAGAUCCCCCAGAGCCCUCUGGCUCCUCCAUAGACAUAGAGCACUUUCCCAGAGCCCUGUGGCUCCUCCGGACCUUUCCAUGGACACAGGGCACUGUCCCAGAUCCUCCAAACCCCUGUGGCUCCUCCAUGCUCACAGGGCACUGUCCCAGAUCCCCCAGAGCCCGCUGUGGAUCCCAGUUCCCUGAGGUUUGGAGAGUUCCUGGUGAAUUUGUGCUCAGAGAGAUCCGUGGGGCUGGGAGGGAGCAGGUUGGGAGAAGGGAAGGCUCUGGAGACACCUUGGAGCCUUUUCCAGUGUCCAAAGGAGCUCCAGGAGAGCUGGAGAGGGACUGGGGGCAAGGCCUGGAGUGCCAG